CUUCAUGGAGAGUUUGAUCCUGGCUCAGGACGAACGCUGGCGGCGUGCCUAAUACAUGCAAGUCGAGCGGACAGAUGGGAGCUUGCUCCCUGAUGUUA
rnacentral:rRNA from 1 species